rnacentral:lncRNA from 1 species
AAGUCUAAGUCCUUAACGGAUAUGAUAUGGGAAGGUUGAGCUGUUGUUUAUCUGUUCCUAGAGAUGCUAGAAUUCUGGAGAAUUUUAUCGUUGAAAAUCUUUAAAAUGUUGCAUGAUGAGUUCCUAUAUGAUGAGAGUUUAAAAUCCUACCACAGCCAUAUAUCCAUGCUUAUUAGACUAUGAACCAUACAUUCACUUUUUACUACUUAUGAGCAUUGAGUCUGGUCAAGCUAUGUAGACCCUUAGGAGCUUGUCAUGCGGUUAAAAUCAAGAUUCACUUGCACGUUCACUCAUACAUGCUGCUUCUACUCCGGAAGUACGCAUCCACAUAUAUCCACUCAUUUCCAUCUCCAGAUUCACCCAAAAUUAUUCUACUCCUAUCCGGGAGAGAAUAGCCAAAAACAUUAUCCUAUCCCUGUUAUUCCCCAUGAAAUAAAUGCUCAAGAUAUUUUGGUUACUACCACUUGCUACAUUAUUCCAGGAGGGUGAGUGCUCUGAAAAAAAGUGAAUACGAGGAAAUAAAAAGGGGCAAGUGUCCGGAACCUCGAAAAAAAAAGAAGAAAAAGUGAGACGAGAGGUAAAAAUGGGCAAGUGUCCGACGGUAGAAUUAGGGUUACAAGAUACCCAUGUGAGAGGGAAAAAAUAAAAUGUAGAGCAUUUCAUUCUCCUCAAAAAGUUUCAAAAGAGCAAGAAUGGUAUGUAUCCCCUCAAAAGAGCAAAAAGUAGAAUUAGACUCUCACCAUUGUUGUCACCAUCAUCACCAUACACCAUUCAUUCACCACACAUUCACAUCUUGAUUUGACUUAUUGACUUGUUUCUGUAGAUCCAUGGUUUGACUAUGCAAUAAAUAUCUUGUAAGUAUGUAUACUUUAUCUCCCACCAAUGAGCUCCAGAUAUCAAGCCUUAUUAGAGUAGGGUGAGAGAGAAGGCAAUGUCACUAUGCCUUAUACCACAAAUACUACAUACUUUGAGAGAAGGCAUAUACCAUCACUGCCUUGGUAAGGAUCCAGAAAUACCACAAAAGAGAGAAUUGAGAGAGUCAUACAAGGAAUCUCUGAGUUUUAUUUUGAAAAUCUGCAAAAACUCUAGAGCUGUAGCUGAUCAAGAAUAAGAGACAUGGCGCUUGACUAGACUGUUCUAUCUUUUAACUGCUCAAGAUACAAGUGACGGUUACAAGCCCCAUGGUGAAAGGUAAAAUGAGUAAGUUUAAAUCUUAACAGUUUACCCUAACCCAGAGAUGAGAUAUUGUUUGAACGCAUGUGUACCUUUAAGGCAUGAAACCACUACAGAAACUCUUGAGUCCAUCCUUGCUUAGGGACGAGCAAGAGGUAAGCUUGGGGGAGUUGUUGACGGUCCUUAAGUAUCAAAUUUAACAAGCAAAUAAAUAAAGAAAAGGAUCCAAAUGCAACCGACACCCAGACUUAGGGUUUUAUCUGACAGAAUUCCAUGAGUUUUGGUGUUUGUCUAUUUCUGGGGGGUUUUCAGGAAACAUGGAGGAAAGGCCCACACAUCUGGUUUACUUAGAGAUAUUAACGUGUGCGGCA